AGGCGUGAUGACGAGGCACUACGGUGCUGAAGUAACAAAUGCCCUGCUUCCAGGAAAAGCCUCUAAGCAUCAGGUAACAUCAAAUCGUACCCCAAACCGACACAGGUGGUCAGGUAGAGAAUACCAAGGCGCUUGAGAGAACUCGGGUGAAGGAACUAGGCAAAAUGGUGCCGUAACUUCGGGAGAAGGCACGCUGACACGUAGGUGAAGUGAUUUACUCACGGAGCUGAAGUCAGUCGAAGAUACCAGCUGGCUGCAACUGUUUAUUAAAAACACAGCACUGUGCAAACACGAAAGUGGACGUAUACGGUGUGACGCCUGCCCGGUGCCGGAAGGUUAAUUGAUGGGGUCAGCGCAAGCGAAGCUCCUGAUCGAAGCCCCGGUAAACGGCGGCCGUAACUAUAACGGUCCUAAGGUAGCGAAAUUCCUUGUCGGGUAAGUUCCGACCUGCACGAAUGGCGUAAUGAUGGCCAGGCUGUCUCCACCCGAGACUCAGUGAAAUUGAACUCGCUGUGAAGAUGCAGUGUACCCGCGGCAAGACGGAAAGACCCCGUGAACCUUUACUAUAGCUUGACACUGAACAUUGAGCCUUGAUGUGUAGGAUAGGUGGGAGGCUUUGAAGUGUGGACGCCAGUCUGCAUGGAGCCGACCUUGAAAUACCACCCUUUAAUGUUUGAUGUUCUAACGUGGACCCGUUACCCGGGUUGCGGACAGUGUCUGGUGGGUAGUUUGACUGGGGCGGUCUCCUCCUAAAGAGUAACGGAGGAGCACGAAGGUUGGCUAAUCCUGGUCGGACAUCAGGAGGUUAGUGCAAUGGCAUAAGCCAGCUUGACUGCGAGCGUGACGGCGCGAGCAGGUGCGAAAGCAGGUCAUAGUGAUCCGGUGGUUCUGAAUGGAAGGGCCAUCGCUCAACGGAUAAAAGGUACUCCGGGGAUAACAGGCUGAUACCGCCCAAGAGUUCAUAUCGACGGCGGUGUUUGGCACCUCGAUGUCGGCUCAUCACAUCCUGGGGCUGAAGUAGGUCCCAAGGGUAUGGCUGUUCGCCAUUUAAAGUGGUACGCGAGCUGGGUUUAGAACGUCGUGAGACAGUUCGGUCCCUAUCUGCCGUGGGCGCUGGAGAACUGAGGGGGGCUGCUCCUAGUACGAGAGGACCGGAGUGGACGCAUCACUGGUGUUCGGGUUGUCAUGCCAAUGGCACUGCCCGGUAGCUAAAUGCGGAAGAGAUAAGUGCUGAAAGCAUCUAAGCACGAAACUUGCCCCGAGAUGAGUUCUCCCUGAGACUUUAGGUCUCCUGAAGGAACGUUGAAGACGACGACGUUGAUAGGCCGGGUGUGUAAGCGCAGCGAUGCGUUGAGCUAACCGGUACUAAUGAACCGUGAGGCUUAACCUUACAACGCCGAAG
rnacentral:rRNA from 1 species